rnacentral:rRNA from 1 species
CACGGAGGUCCCAAGCGUUGUUCGGAAUUACUGGGCGUAAAGGGUGCGUAGGCGGCGGGGUAAGUCAGAUGUGAAAGCCCGGGGCUCAACUCCGGAAUUGCAACCGAUACUGCCUUGCUUGAGGAUUGGAGGGGAGACUGGAAUUCACGGUGUAGCAGUGAAAUGCGUGGAUAUCGUGAGGAAGGCAAAUGGCGAAGGCAGGUCUCUGGACAAUUCCUGACGCUGAGGCGCGAAGGCCAGGGGAGCAAAAAGG